GUGGAUUAGAUACCCUGGUUGUCCACGCCGUAAACGAUGAAUGCCAGCCGUCGGGGAGCUUGCUCUUCGGUGGCGCAGCUAACGCUUUAAGCAUUCCGCCUGGGGAGUACGGUCGCAAGAUUAAAACUCAAAGGAAUUGACGGGGGCCCACACAAGCGGUGGAGCAUGUGGUUUAAUUCGAAGCAACGCGCAGAACCUUACCGGCUCUUGACAUGCCACGACGACUUCCAGAGAUGGAUUUCUUCCCUUCGGGGACGUGGACACAGGUGCUGCACGGUCGUCGUCAGCU
rnacentral:rRNA from 1 species